UUUCCUUAUGAUUUAAUCUUAUCAUAUUCAUGGAAUAAAAAUUGAUGAUGAUUUGAUAUUUUAAAUAGGAUUAGCUGAUUCUUCUAAUGAAGUCUGAAGAUCUAAAAUGAAUGAUGUAAGUGGAUCUUACGCUCCUUAUUUAUUUUUAAAUCUUCAUAAUUUUUAUGCAUAUGAUCUCUUAUUGAUGAAGUCAUAUUUUUUUCAUAAAAUAGGGAUCAGCAUAUGUGAUAUGAAAAAGCAUGUUUUAUUAUGAGCAUUGAUUGCAUGAAUGUAUUUUAUAAAAAGUUGCAUGAUUAUGAAGCAUGAAAUUUUAUUAUUUUCCAUCUAUGUAUAUGUAUGUUUUAAGAAAAAGAUAUAAUGAUUUCAAA
rnacentral:lncRNA from 1 species